UUUCACGAAGCAGAGCCAAAACUUUUAUGGAGGACACGUAGGAAGUGCUUCCUCCUGACAAUGCCCACACGGUGAGAGAAAGCCACGUGCAUGCAGCAGUGAGACACCAUGCAGAAGGCCACUCUGAGCUUCUCUGGAGACAGGCAUACACAGAAGCACAAACUGCAGGGGUCAACGGCAACUGGUGUUCUCUACGGCUCUACUUCUUGCUGGUCCUGCAAGCUGCAGCACGUCACAUCAGCUUCCUGCAGCUCGGAGGCCUCAUCUAUAAAAUGGGGACAACAGCAGCAUGCAGUAUGCUGCAAAGAUUAAAUAAAAUGAUCUGUGUAAAAUGCUUACAGGAGAAUCUGGCAUGUGGGAAGGAUCAUUAUUUAUAACUGCUCUGACAGAGGCAUCAGUGAUCUCCAAGGACCUUCUGCCUCCUUGAAUGAUGAUGAAGGGAAGACGCAGGUGUCAGAGCCUUGGGCCUCAGACACAAAGUCACUUCAAAUCCUUAACUACUUAGCUUGUCUGCAGUUUGGCAUGGUCGGUUCAUCCUUCUCCACAGGAAAUGAGGGACACUAAGGCUAGCCAUCUUGACAACAGACUCAAAAUCCUGUGUUUUCUCCACUGCCCUACACUGCUCAAAAGAAUUUGGUGGUGAUGCCAGCAUAUUCUCUGGUCCUUACCAGAAGAGAAAAGAACAAUACUGCUACCCCGUGCCCUACCUUCUGAAGACUGAGAGACGGAUGAGCAUAAGAUCCACCUACUGGAAGAAAGUUAGCAUGGUACAUGAUUCCAUCCAGUACCCGACAGUAAUGGCAUCUUGAAUUGUCAUGGCUCCUUAGGUUCCUAUUGGCUGUGACUGUUUCUCAGCUUUUCCCUAGUUGUGAAACCUUGGAAGUUAAUAAAAAUGUCACUUGGGUAUUCUAUAACGUCCCUAAAAAUGGACUUCUUUGAUGCUUUGCUCACGAUUACCAUAGAUGGGAGUGUGGGCAUUGGGAGAGACUAUGGAGGUAAAGAUAAAUUUUCUUUCCAUCCUGUCAAAUGGACAUACUUUUGACAUAGCUUAUGCUGUUGAUGCAACUCUGCUCACCUGGCUGAAAUGCAUCUGCUGUGGUUUCCCGCUGGAAGCAUGCUCUCUGUCUUUAUGCUUAUCAUGCUAUUCUAUGCUCUGCAGAAAACAUGGGCCAUCUAUCCUGUGGCAAUGCCAUCUCAAAGUGAUGCAACUUUAAACUCUAACUCGCUCAAGCAGGAGUUAAUGGGUGAUUUACAGGUUCCAUAAACCUUGAUAAUCACUGAUGAGGCACCACCAGUCUACAAAAGCAAGUCAUUUCAGAGAUCUAUGAGUCUGGGGAGGAAAAACAAAGUAAACCUAAGAACAACCUGUGCAAAGGAUCAGAGGAAUGGAAGGAGGCAAAAUACUUUCAAGGGAUUGAAAGAAGAUCCAUGCAGCUGCAAUAAUGGGAAGAAGAGCAAAGGGAGUGGGAAGAGCUGGGAGAAUGGAGCAAGCAUCAGAGAGUUCAUGUGGAUGGGAAAUUUGAUCUUUGGAAUCAGAGGCUUUUCAUCAGGGAUACCAACCUGAUCAUAUAUGCAUCAUGGAACAUGGAUGUCAUGUGUAGACUCAGAGAAGAGCUGGUGAGGAGCCAAGGAAGAGGUGGAAGUGACAGAAGAUUGGGGUAGAGGACAGGCUAUUCCUGAUAGAAAUGGUGCUGGAGGGAAAGGGGGAGAAGGCUAAACUUUCCUGUAGCAGCUUCUGUGUUUGUGUGUUCUAUGUUUCUGUGUCAAUCUUUCUAAUAAAGAAGAUGUCUCUGGAUUGCA